CCUGCCCCGGCCCCCGCGGUGGGCGGCCAGAGCGCGUGGGGCCCGGGCCCGGGACAGGCAGCGGAGCCUGGAUUGCGGUGCGCUGGGCCAGUCUGCCACCCGGCCCAGGCCCGUUAGGGACCCAGACGCUGAGCGCAGUCCCCAGCCGGGGAGUUUCAGCGGCGGGGGGACGACCCAGGUGGCGUUUCCGGAGUUGGGAGGCACUACCUGACGCGGCUAUUUUGUUUUUCUAGUUUUCAGCUACCGAAGGUUGGAUAUCGGACAUGAAUUACUCACGGUUCCUCACGGCCACGAGCGCAGCGAGAAAGCCUUCUGCCAUCCGAAUCAUGACUGAGACAUUGAGCAGGGCACCGAAAUCGGUCAUCUCCUUGGCUACUGGAUCACCAAACCCCAACACCUUCCCUUUUAAGACUGCUGUUAUCACCGUAGACAAUGGAGAGCCCAUCCAGUUUAAUGAAGAGAUGAUGAAGAGAGCACUUCAGUAUUCUCAGAGUGCUGGAAUCCCCGAGCUGUUGUCCUGGCUAAAACAGUUACAAGUAAAAUUGCAUAAUCCUCCCACCAUCAAUUAUCCAACCAACCAAGGAAAAAUGGACUUAUGUGUAACAUCUGGCAGCCAAGACGGCCUUUGUAAGGUGUUUGAAAUGAUCAUUAAUCCUGGAGAUAAUGUCCUCCUUAAUGAACCUGUUUACUCAGGAACACUUCAAGCUCUAAUGCCACUGGGCUGCAACAUUAUUAAUGUUUCCAGUGAUGAAUAUGGUAUUAUUCCAGGCUCCCUCAAAGAAGUACUUUCCAAAUGGAAGCCAGAAGACUCAAAAAACCCCAAGAGAAACACCCCCAAAUUUCUUUACACUGUCCCAAACGGCAACAACCCUACUGGAAACUCAUUAACAACUAACCGCAAGAAGGAAAUCUAUGAGCUUGCAAGAAAAUAUGAUUUCCUCAUAAUAGAAGAUGAUCCUUACUAUUUUCUCCAGUUCAACAAGUCCUGGGCACCAACAUUUCUUUCCAUGGACGUUGAUGGGCGUGUCAUCAGAGCUGACUCUUUUUCAAAAGUCCUCUCCUCUGGGUUGAGACUAGGGUUUAUAACUGGUCCAAAACCCUUGAUAGAGAGAGUUGUCUUACACACACAAGUUUCAACUCUGCACCCCAGCACUUUUACACAGCUUCUAGUAUCACAGCUUCUACACCAAUGGGGAGAAGAAGGUUUCCUGGCUCAUGUAGAGAGGGUUACUGAUUUCUAUAGGAAGCAGAAGGAUGCAUUACUGGCAGCUGCAGACAAAUGGUUAAGUGGUUUGGCAGAAUGGCAUGUUCCUACUGCUGGAAUGUUUUUAUGGCUUAAAAUUAAGGGCAUUUAUGAUGUAAAACAACUGAUUGAAGAAAAAGCCAUUAAGAAAGAGAUAUUAAUGCUUCCUGGAAAUAUUUUCUACACUGAUACCUCAGCACCUAGCCCUUACUUUAGAGUGUCCUUCUCUUCAGCUUCUCCAGAACAAAUGGAUAUGGCCUUCCAGAGAUUAGCCCAAAUUAUUAAAGAAUCUUUAUGAAGAAAUCUUCAUAGUACUCAUGGAUUUUUCAGAUAAAUUAUUUUUAUGAUUUAGCAGGAAGAAAUGAUCGUUGGCAUUAGACUUACAGUGGAAAUGAAAUACCACAUUUCCAGAUGCCCUGCAGCUACAGUCCAUGUAUGAGUGAAGUUCCAUCAUUCAGACGCCUGGAUUCGGAACUGAGUUGAGAGGGGAGCAAGUCAAGAGGCAAGGCAUCCAUUUGCUAAGGCAAUGUGAUUUUACAGCAAGCAGCUUCUUGGUGUGGGGUUUUCUGAUCCUGGCAGAAGAAAUGAAAUCCCAGGGCUAGAAACUGUCUCUGGAAACCCCAUUUACUUUUACACGCAUUCCAAACAAUUUUGGAAACCACAGAAUAUAUGAAAAUAAACACUUCACUUAAGUUAGCUAGAGUAGUUUCUGUUAUCUGCCACCGAAUGCCAACCAGGCCAGCUGUGUCCGGGUCUCCAAGACCACCCUCAGGCUUGAUGGUUCCCUAAAAGGACUCAGAAGACCCAGAGGCUAGUGUAGCCACAGCUGCCAUUUAUUGCAGCAAAAAGGAUAGAGUAAAAUCUCAAAGGGAAAAGGCACGUGGGACAAACACAAUCUGGAGGAGACCAGGCACAAGCUUCCAAGAGUCCCCUCUUAGCAGAGUCGCACGGGAUAUGCUUAAUUCCUCGGGUGAUGAUGUGUGACAGCAAGGGCAAAGUAUCGUCAACAGGGGAAGCUCACCUGAGAGCCUGGUUGUCAGUGGUUUUAUCAGGGGUCAGUCACACACAGUGCCUGCAAUGGUGGACCUCAGUUACUGAAGCUCCACAGCCACAGGGGGAUCUUAGGUGUUCACCAUAAAGCACGUAGUAAAAACGAUCUAGAAAAGCAGUUAUAGCAUGGCUCGAGACCCCAGACAUGAAAAACACUCAUUAAUGAGAAUAUUCCAAGAGCUCAGUCCCCACGAGCCAGCCAAGGGCCAGUCACAAACACAGCCCUCAUUGGAGUGACCCAGAUCUGCUGAGUUAACCCUUUACCACCCACUGGGAACUCCACUUAUGGACAUUCAUAGUAAAGAAUUACCCAAAAUAUGGAAGAAAGUAAAAAAACAUGAAGACAGUAAUUGUAAUUUAAAACAGCAAAACAUUGGAGGUAGGGGUUGAGGUUUUGGGACUGAAGUUCUCGCAGUAAGAAAAUGGGUUAUGUCAAUUAUGGUUCAUCCACUUAAGUUUUAGGCAACCACUAAAACACCACUAUGAAGCAGUAUCAUUCAUUUUAUGAAGCACUAUGUUAAAAUGAUUAUAUAUAAUAUGGAAUGAAAAACCAGGGUAUGAAAGCAUACAUAUACUCUAAUUACAACUAUGUAAAAAAAUAAGACAUCCACCAAAAAAGCAAAAAUUGGGUAAUUUUUUAUUUUCAAAAUACUCUUUAACAUG